rnacentral:rRNA from 1 species
GGGUCAGUAGGUUGGUCGUGCCACCGGUACGUACUGGUCUCACUGAUUCCUCCUUCCUGAAGAACCGUAAUGCCAUUAAUUUGGUGUUGCGGGGAAACAGGACUGUUACUUUGAAAAAAUUAGAGUGUUUAAAGCAAGCUAACGCUUGAACACAUUAGCAUGGAAUAAUGAAAUAGGACGAUCGAUCCUAUUUUGCUGGUUUCUAGGAUUGACGUA